rnacentral:lncRNA from 1 species
UAUUUUAUUUCAGUACCAAAAAAAUGAAUAUCAUAAAAACGAUGAAACAAAAGAAAUCCCGCAGAAAAAUCUUGCGAGAAAGGGAAGCUACUCGCAUAGGCGCCUACGCACUGUGCAUGCACACGCGCGCCCAAUCAACAAGAGACUUGCGCACAGCACGCAUGUCCCAUCCGCCCACGCGGCGCUGGGUCAACCUUACGCUUGCCUGAUGUGCACAGACGGGCUGUCUGUGCAUCACUUCAGGUGCAGACAAGU